UACGUAGGGUGCGAGCGUUGUCCGGAAUUACUGGGCGUAAAGAGCUUGUAGGCGGUUCGUCGCGUCGAUCGUGAAAACUUGCAGCUCAACUGCGAGCUUGCGGUCGAUACGGGCGGACUAGAGUACUGCAGGGGAGACUGGAAUUCCUGGUGUAGCGGUGAAAUGCGCAGAUAUCAGGAGGAACACCGGUGGCGAAGGCGGCCUUCUGGACAGUGACUGACGCUGAGACGCGAAAGCGUGGGGAGCGAACAGG
rnacentral:rRNA from 1 species